CGACAGAUGGAGAGUGCCUUUCUACUGCCUGUGUGUCCUCAAUACUGCUCUGAUUGGCCUUCUCCAGUCCACUGCUCAUCCCAUGGCUAUUGUGCCUGCUGAGUGCAUCCCCAAAAUGAUCCACUGCAUGAAGUUCAUGGAGGAACAAUGUGGAACUCCACUUUGUGACGCCUGUGUUCCAGCCAGAGGGAGCCGGUGCCUGCUAUGGAAGAAAGGUCUGCCUGUGCUUUGGGGAAAAAGUAGUCCACCACGAUCUACCUUUGCUCUUUGACCUCUCAAGAGACCCUUCUGAGACCCACAUCCUCACACCAGCCUCAGAGCCCGUGUUCUAUCAGGUGAUGGAACGAGUCCAGCAGGUGAUGCGGGAACACCAGCGGACACUCAGCCCAGUUCCUCUGCAGCUGGACAGGCUGGGCAAUAUCUGGAGACCGUGGCUGCAGCCCUGCUGUGGCCCAUUCCCCCUCUGCUAGUGCCUUAGGGAAGAUGACCCACAAUAAAU
rnacentral:lncRNA from 1 species